AGCCGGCGUCUUGUUUACUUUUUUUAUCGGCCCCACUACGUAAACAGAGAGAAGAGGGAGAACCAGAGUAUAUAAAUCAAAUCGGCCAAUAUGCCAGUGGUAUUAUGUCCAGCUGCUGGGAGAAAAAUCUCUCUAUGGAGGCUGUAUGAAGUUGAUUGAUUCGCUUAACCCAGUGGUGAAUGAUUGUCCGUUCUUGUCACGAUUAUCGUUAGAGGUAAAUUUUAUGUGAUACAACCCAACAGACCAAAAAUAAAGAAAACUAUAAUACAGUGUGAGAACAAUAUUAUUAUUACCCGCUGGCAAUGAAAAUUCCAUUUAACUCAAUUUCACCAGUCCUAUACUAGAUAUAAGCCGGACUAGUACCAAAUGUGUCCCCAAGCAAUGCAAAGGUAACCAAUUGACACCUUUUCGUCCCCAAGUAAUGCAAAGAAGCGACAGUUGUGCAUAAAUAAAAACCACCACGAAAAAACCAAACGAACAUUUGAAUGAGAUUUCUACGAACAAGAACCACUUUGAAUAGUUUUUUUUUUUUUAGAUUACAAUAAAAAAAACAAUGCACCGUUAUUCUUGAGGAAUGCAAGUGCGUUUUGUUUGGAAAAAGCAUUCUUAUUCUGAUCGUUGUGAAGUGAAGUAUCAUUUUUCUGUGCAAAUAAGUUAUAGGGUGUUGAAAAUAACAAAUAAAAAGGUCAAAUCAAAAUUUUAGCUGAUGCUUUAGCUGAGUUGAAGGUGAUGGUGCUACGAUCUCAAAGUGACGAAUAGGUUCCCCAUCACUUAUGAAAAAUAUUGAGAAUCAAUACAUAUAUGUAAAGAUUAUAGCAUCAAUUAUAAAAGGAGAGGAAAUAUCGAAAUGUUUAAAAAUGUUAUCGGUUCAAAUAUUACUACGAGUAUAAUAUUGAGGGAAACCAUGGAAAAAAGUUUGAAGUCCCUAAGUAAUAUAUACAGCGUUAUUUUAGAUUCAAUACCAGUUACAGAAUAUUCGGACACCCCUGAAACACAACUGCGAAAAGCAAUACAAGUACUUUUAUAAAUAUUAAAUUAAAUUUAUUUUUGUUCAAGUUUUAUAGAGUAAGGUAUAUUUGUAUUCAUUUCUUU